rnacentral:lncRNA from 1 species
AUGGGGCCGCGUGGAGGCGAGCCGCGGUCAGAGCAGCCGCCGGCAGCUGCGCGACCCCGGCGUCACGCCCGGCGCGAGGACGCGGCGGUUGGCAGCGGGACGCGCGGGGCGAUGACAGCCGCUCACGGCCUCCGGGUUCCCGCGGGGCUCAGCGCGUUGGGGGCGGAGGGCUCCGCGUCCUGCGCGACGGCCGUUGGCGGAGCCCUCCCAGCGGCCAGCGGCCGCCCCCGCGCCGCCGCCGGCCCGGCCGCAAUCGCGGGCGUCGGGCGCCCCCCAGCGGCGGCAGCGCCGCACUGCGCCUCCCAGCCCCGCCCGCCGGCCCCGCGGGGGGAAGCGGAGGGCUCGGCCUCUCGCUCCCCGCGGCGCUUCGCCCCGUCCCCUCCCUGCCCGCUGCGGGCGGGGGAUGCACGUCGCUCUACCGACAGUCAGGCGCGGCCCCGCGCCGGCCGCUACUCCAGGCCCGCGGUGAUGAAGGGGCCGCGUGAAGCGGGUGCGGAAAGGCAGCGGCCGGGAGCGGGGAACCGUCGGUGCGGUGCGCCCCCGAGCGCCGCGCUGCCCCCGCAGCCCCGGCCAGCGUUUGCCGUACAUUGGUUUUCCUCGGGAAAAGCCGGCGACUGCGGGCGGGCGGUGCGGGGCCGCCGCUCAGCAGCCGCAGACGGGGGAGCGGCUCGGAGCCCCCGGCACCCUGCGGCCGGGCGUCACCUACGCGUGGGGCGGGGGCGGCGGGACUCGACCGGCAGCGGCCGUCGAGGAAAUCGGGACCGAGGAGCGGCGGGGCGGCCGAGGAACAAUAUGAAGUUAUUUUCUCUGGCACCCUCUGCAAACAGAAGAAGUUUUGCCUGAAAUUGGGAAUGUUCUUAUGGACCAGAUCCAGAGUUGUUCAAGCAAACAGCAAGAUUUCCAGCAAUUUCAGUAUUCUUUUGAUCAGGCACUUAAUCUUCUAGAAAAUACUGGGCUUAAAAGGACUAUUGUGUUUGUGGUGCUGACUGCAUAUGGAGUUUGGAGUUUGAGUUUGUGUCUAAUGGAGAAGAAGAAAGACAUUUACUAACAGAUUUUCUGUAAGUAUUGUUUUACUUCAUUUUCAUUCUAUUCCCUUUCCAGCUGUUUUUGCAUAAUAAAAGUUUAAGUGAAU